AUGCCGGAAGCAUUUAGAUGGCACCUUGCCACCCAACAGGAUCUGCACAUAUUCAUCACUUCGACAUGCAGACCACCAGGGGAAAAUGACCGCGUAUACCUAGUCUGCUUAGCGUCUGGGUAUGGUGCAAACAUACAGGUCACUUGGCACUCAGGGGCAAGGACGAAGUCCCAGCAGACCUUCCCCACUGUCCAGAAUGGCGGAGUUUACACCGUGAGCAGCCAGCUCUCCUUUCCGAUGGCUGAGUUGAAUCUUGGCCCCCACGAAUGCAGCACCUCUCCAGACAAGUGGAGCUCGAAGAAGACAUUCCAGCAACCAGAUUCCUGGACUGCUCAGAACUCCCUGGGGCCCUUCACACUUCCUAGAGCAGAGAGGGGCUCCACUCAGGCCACCAGAGAUACCACCACCACCACUACCACCACCACCACCACCACUAGGGACACCACCAUCACCAGGAACACAGAAUGUCCCAGCCACACAUACCUUCCUGCCAUCUACCUGCUUCACCCUAGCCUGGAGGGCCUGUGGUUCCAAAAGGAGGCCACCUUUACCUGCCUGGUGGUGGGACAUGACCUUCAGGAAGCCAAGCUGUCCUGGAUGGUGGACAGGGAAGCUGUCAAUAGCAGCACAGAGAGGAAACAAUUUCUCAAUGGCUCCGAAACACUGAGCAGCCGUCUGGGCCUACCCAGGACCACAUGGGACCAUGGGACACCUGUCACCUGCACGCUCAGCCACCCAGGCCUUGAGUCCCCCAAGGAGAUGACAGCACAGCGGGAAGAAGUGGCCAAGGCACCCAGCAACCUUUCUGUCAGCCUCCUGGAUACACCCUCCUCUCCUAAGGCGGCCACAUGGUUUCUGUGUGAGGUUUCUGGCUUCUCACCUCCUGACAUCCUCCUCAUAUGGCUGGAGGGCCAGCAGGAAGUGGACCGCUCCCGGUUUGCCACAGCCCACUCCACUCCCAAGGAGGGCAAUGCCAUCUUCCAGACCUGGAGCAUUCUGCACAUCCCAGCCACCUCCAGCCCCCUGAUGGCUGCCUACACAUGUGUGGUAGGACACGAGGCCUCCCGGACAGUGCUCAGUGCCAACAGGAGCCUGGACACUGGUGGUCUGGUCGCUACCACCAGCCCACUGCCCCAGAGCAGGGACGAGAACAGCAACGACUACCCUGAGAUGGAGGAGGAUGGCAGCCUGUGGCCCACACUGUGCACCUUCGUGGCACUCUUCCUCCUCACACUGCUUUACAGUGGCUUUGUCACCUUCAUCAAGGUGAAAUAGCCCAGCCACAGCUGACAUCAUGAAGCCACAAGAAGGGAUGCUCAGUCUUGAAUCCCAUCUCAGACACUGCCUCACACAGAGACAAGGCGUUCCAAGGCUCCCCUCUGCCCACACAGGACCCCACCUACCCUGUACUGCCCAGAACCUCCCUCUGCUCUGUCAGAGCUUCAUCAAGCUG